ensembl:lncRNA
GGUGAGCAGCCCUGGCCUCCGCUGAUCAGAAUAGGAAAGGCUUUGGCAGGGUCUUGUGCAAUGGCUCUCGUGUUUCUGCGUGGGUGGGAUGAUGGCACUGGCCAUGGACGUACUGUGGGCAUGGCAAAGCCCCCAGAAGAAAUCUGGGAGCAGAGGGAGGCACUGGGGCAGUGGUGUUGGCACAAAGCAUCCCUCAGCUUGUGGCAUUGGCAGAGCUGGGCUGUUGUACACAUCUGGGCCGGGGUUCACAUCUGGGCUGUUGUUCCCCUGGGCUGUUGUUGCAGGCAGUCACCAGCCUCUGCCCCCUCCCCACUCAUCUGGCAGCAACCAGAGCCAGGAUGUGGGGAGGCUGUGGGAAGCCUAAGUACUGAGCCUGGCUUAGUGCAAAACUCCUGGGACCAGUGACACGAGAUGGCCGUCACAGAGGAGCACCUAUCCUGCAGGCAGCCCUCUGAUGAGGUAUUUUGGGGUUUCUAAAAAUACAUCCCUGGAGGUGUCUGGGCCAAGCAGUGGGGUGGAUGCUGAGGGAAGCCCAGGUGCAGGAGCCCAGGCAGUGCAGGGGGAUGGACUCUGCACGGUCACAGCCCCCGAGGCAGCACCGUGACCUGCCCUGCACGACCUUCCCGGGGAAGAUUAUGAAAGUGCAUUACGUGUGGAGGCAAAACGGAUGGAGGAGCAGGCAGGAGUGCUGGGUCAGCAAGUCGUGCAGGCUGGAUGAGCGGUGAGUGCUCAGAGGGAGAAGGAAGACACCGUGCUGAAAACAGUAAAGGGAGACGCAGGCUAGUGGCAAAGGAGAUGGGAACAAGGAGAACCAGACUCGCCCAGAGCAGCUGGCACUGGCAAGAGAAAAACCUGGGAACUCCAGCUGUGCGGAAGAGAGGAGGGAAAACCGAGGUGGUUUCCUGUCUCCCUUCUCAGCCUGCUCUCUCCUCUGAGCAUCUCGGAAACAUCCUCCACUCCUGUCUGGAGACCUGGAACCAGACUGCUGAAGGCACCUGGAGAGGAAAGGAUCCUGCCUCCCAUCUCACUUCCCUGGGCUUGCUUCAUGUCCCAAACUACUCCAGGGGUUGGGAGAGGAAGUGACUGGGUUUUGCCUACUCACCUAUCCCAGAAAAUCGUAGAGUUACAAGAAAACAAGCUCCCGAUGAACAGGGGCAGGGCAGGGCAAUAUUCUAGGCACAGAGAGGUCCUUUUGCUGCCGAGGGCAGGGCGCCCAUCAUUCCAGUGGCAUUAGUGCUUUCCACCUCCACGCAGGAGGUACAGGAUAUCAUGGUAUUAUUUUUAACCGGGGAUAUUUAGUGAACUUCUCACGUGCUGCUGGAGGGUCAGAUUUAUCCCAUAGCCUCAGUCCCAGGGGACACUCCCAGUUAUUUUUGAACCCAUCAGAGCACCAGAGAAGCAGGGGAUGCAAAAGCUCGGGAGACACAAAGUCUGGGAUUUGUCUGGCCUGUCCCUCUGGUCUGUGCCGCAGAGGCGAGCGUGGAGCAGAGCCCCUCAUGCCUGCCUUGUCAUCACCACCGUCACCCAGACCCCCACAAUAAAAUCCAAAACUUUGGCGAAGCCCCA